GUAACCUUAACCUCCUAAUGAGAUCGCCGAGGAAGCCGCUGACCGCUGACCGAGCUUACGACAUCCGGAGCACCACGCCCAGAGUGUUACAUUCUUUCGCCCACUUAGGCUGGGCAACCACCAGUGAAGUGUAUGAUUAUGUUCAUUUGAAAGCUCAAGGACCUGGGGCUUAAAAAUCGAACUCAGGACCUUGAGCUUUCGAGGCAGGCAGCGGAACCACUGAGCUAAAUCCCUGGCCGUCAUGUGCCUUUGUACAGCAUGGAUAAUUUGAAUAAUUAAAAGAAAAAAGAAUCCAAGUUCUCUGAACAUAUGGCUGGUAACUAACCUUCCUAAUUCAGCAGAAGUACUCAAGCUUUGGAACACAUCACGCAGAGGUGGUGGGUACUGUUGCCCAAGGCCCCGAGGAGAGACAGCAGAACUGCCUCAGAAGCAGGGGCAGAUUGUCGGGCUCCCAGGUGCCUGUGCUGGUCCCUUGCGGUUAUUCUGAGUUUCCCAGGACUAGUGGAAGAACUGAGGGCAGAGAUGCUGAUCAUCUCUGUCCUGGCCCCACCCCAAGGCUGAUAAUCCGGCGGCCCUCACCUCCCUCUUCCUGCCAUUUCCCAGAGCCAUGGAACUCCACAUGUCCUGCUACAAACAGCUGUCACUGCUCACUGGGGGAGCUGAGCCCAGAAAAGCGGCCCUUCCACAUCAGCUCACCUGGGAGAGGUGUUAGCAUCAUCCAGGGAUCAGGAGCCCUAGUAACGGGGAGUGCACAAACCCUGUUUCGUCUGAAUGCCCAAUGAGCAAGACACAUGGGUCACAAGGGACCUCGGAGGGAGAAGCCUCCUGCUGGGUCUGGGGGGGCUCCCUUCUGUAAUCCCAGCACCCAGGAGGCUGAGGCAGAUGGACCUCUUUGAGUAGGAAAUAUAUCUUAGAUCCUAAGGUUAU
ensembl:lncRNA